rnacentral:rRNA from 1 species
GACGAACGCUGGCGGCGUGCCUAAUACAUGCAAGUUGAGCGCUGAAGGUUGGUACUUGUACCGACUGGCUGAGCAGCGAACGGGUGAGUAACGCGUGGGGAAUCUGCCUUUGAGCGGGGGACAACAUUUGGAAACGAAUGCUAAUACCGCAUAAAAACUUUAAACACAAGUUUUAAGUUUGAAAGAUGCAAUUGCAUCACUCAAAGAUGAUCCCGCGUUGUAUUAGCUAGUUGGUGAGGUAAAGGCUCACCAAGGCGAUGAUACAUAGCCGACCUGAGAGGGUGAUCGGCCACAUUGGGACUGAGACACGGCCCAAACUCCUACGGGAGGCAGCAGUAGGGAAUCUUCGGCAAUGGACGAAAGUCUGACCGAGCAACGCCGCGUGAGUGAAGAAGGUUUUCGGAUCGUAAAACUCUGUUGGUAGAGAAGAACGUUGGUGAGAGUGGAAAGCUCAUCAAGUGACGGUAACUACCCAGAAAAGGACGGCUAACUACGUG